rnacentral:rRNA from 1 species
UUAAGUGACUAAGCGUACAAGGUGGAUGCCUUGGCAAUCAGAGGCGAAGAAGGACGUGCUAAUCUGCGAAAAGCUUGGAUGAGUCGAUAAGAGGCGUUUAAUCCAAGAUGUCCGAAUGGGGAAACCCAGUAGAUGAAGAAUCUACUAUCACUUACUGAAUCCAUAGGUAAGUGAGGCAAACCGGGAGAACUGAAACAUCUAAGUACCCCGAGGAAAAGAAAUCAACCGAGAUUUCGUCAGUAGCGGCGAGCGAACGCGAAGGAGCCUGUUAGUGAUAAUGACAGAGACAGAGGAACAAGCUGGGAAGCUUGGCGAUACAGGGUGAUAGCCCCGUACUCGAAGUCCAAGUCAUGGUACUAAGCUAACGACAAGUAGGGCGGGACACGUGAUAUCCUGUUUGAAGAUGGGGGGACCAUCCUCCAAGGCUAAAUACUCCUGAUUGACCGAUAGUGAACCAGUACUGUGAAGGAAAGGCGAAAAGAACCCCGGUGAGGGGAGUGAAAUAGAACCUGAAACCUUGUACGUACAAGCAGUGGGAGCCUGAAAGGGUGACUGCGUACCUUUUGUAUAAUGGGUCAGCGACUUAUAUUUUGUAGCGAGGUUAACCGAAUAGGGGAGCCGAAGGGAAACCGAGUCUUAACUGGGCGUCUAGUUGCAAGGUAUAGACCCGAAACCCGGUGAUCUAGCCAUGGGCAGGUUGAAGGUUGGGUAACACUAACUGGAGGACCGAACCGACUAAUGUUGAAAAAUUAGCGGAUGACUUGUGGCUGGGGGUGAAAGGCCAAUCAAACCGGGAGAUAGCUGGUUCUCCCCGAAAUCUAUUUAGGUAGAGCCUUGAGCGGACACCUUCGGGGGUAGAGCACUGUUUCGGCUAGGGGUCCAUCCCGGAUUACCAACCCGAUGCAAACUACGAAUACCGAAGAGUGAUACUCAGGAGACACACGGCGGGUGCUAACGUCCGUCGUGGAGAGGGAAACAACCCAGACCGCCAGCUAAGGUCCCAAAGUCUAUAUUAAGUGGGAAACGAAGUGGGAAGGCUUAGACAGCUAGGAUGUUGGCUUAGAAGCAGCCAUCAUUUAAAGAAAGCGUAAUAGCUCACUAGUCGAGUCGGCCUGCGCGGAAGAUGUAACGGGGCUCAAAUAUAGCACCGAAGCUGCGGCAUCAGACGAAAGUCUGUUGGGUAGGGGAGCGUUCUGUAAGCGGAUGAAGGUGGCUCGAGAGGGUUGCUGGACGUAUCAGAAGUGCGAAUGCUGACAUAAGUAACGAUAAAACGGGUGAAAAACCCGUUCGCCGGAAGACCAAGGGUUCCUGUCCAACGUUAAUCGGGGCAGGGUGAGUCGGCCCCUAAGGCGAGGCUGAAAAGCGUAGUCGAUGGGAAACGGGUUAAUAUUCCCGUACUUGGUAAAGCUGCGAUGUGGGGACGGAGCAGGUUAGGUUAGCGUGCUGUUGGAUAUGCACGUUUAAGUUGGUAGGUGGGGAGUUUAGGCAAAUCCGGACUUCCUUAACACUGAGAGAUGAUGACGAGGCUCUACGGAGCUGAAGUAACUGAUACCACACUUCCAGGAAAAGCCACUAAGCGAAAGGCUUUACUAAACCGUACUGAAAACCGACACAGGUGGUCAGGUAGAGAAUACUCAGGCGCUUGAGAGAACUCGGGUGAAGGAACUAGGCAAAAUAGCACCGUAACUUCGGGAGAAGGUGCGCCGGCGUAGAUUGUAGUCCCUCGCGGGCGAAGGUUGAACCGGUCGAAGAUACCAGCUGGCUGCAACUGUUUAUUAAAAACACAGCACUCUGCAAACACGAAAGUGGACGUAUAGGGUGUGAUGCCUGCCCGGUGCUGGAAGGUUAAUUGAUGGUGUAAUCGAAAGAGAAGCUCCUGAUCGAAGCCCCAGUAAACGGCGGCCGUAACUAUAACGGUCCUAAGGUAGCGAAAUUCCUUGUCGGGUAAGUUCCGACC